UGGCGGCAGGCCUAACACAUGCAAGUCGAGCGGUAACAUUUCUAGCUUGCUAGAAGAUGACGAGCGGCGGACGGGUGAGUAACGCGUAGAAAUCUACCUAGUAGUGGGGGAUAGCCCAGAGAAAUUUGGAUUAAUACCGCAUACGCCCUACGGGGGAAAGCGGGGGAUCUUCGGACCUCGUGCUAUUAGAUGAGUCUGCGUCGGAUUAGCUUGUUGGUGAGGUAAUGGCUCACCAAGGCGACGAUCCGUAGCUGGUCUGAGAGGAUGACCAGCCACACUGGAACUGAGACACGGUCCAGACUCCUACGGGAGGCAGCAGUGGGGAAUAUUGCACAAUGGGCGCAAGCCUGAUGCAGCCAUGCCGCGCGUGUGAAGAAGGCCUUAGGGUUGUAAAGCACUUUCAGCAGUGAGGAAAGGGGUGUCGUUAAUAGCGCCAUCCUGUGACGUUAACUGCAGAAGAAGGACCGGCUAACUCCGUG
rnacentral:rRNA from 1 species